AGCAGGCGCGCAAAUUACCCAAUCCCGACACGGGGAGGUAGUGACAAUAAAUAACAAUACAGGCGCUCGAUAAGAGUCUUGUAAUUGGAAUGAGUACAAUUUAAACCCCUUAACGAGUAACAAUUGGAGGGCAAGUCUGGUGCCAGCAGCCGCGGUAAUUCCAGCUCCAAUAGCGUAUAUUAAAGUUGUUGCAGUUAAAAAGCUCGUAGUUGGAUCUAGGGACGCGCAUUUCAAGCGCCCGUGUCGUCGGGUCAAACCGGCGACUGCGUUGGCGUUGCGGGCUCGGUCCGUCGGUGCCACUAAAAGCACUGGCGUGUCAACCGGCCCGCCCGUCCCCUCCUUCUGGAUUCCCGUUCCUGCUAUUGAGUUAGUGGGGACGUCACAGGGGGCUCAUCGUCGUCAUGCAAAUGGCGGCGGUGGGUCCCUGGGGCCCAGAUCGUUUACCGUGAAAAAAUUAGAGUGUUCAAAGCAGGCAGAUCCAAUUCUCUGCCACCGAAUACAUUAGCAUGGGAUAAUGGAAUAGGACCCUGUCCUCCUAUUUUCAGUUGGUUUUGGCAGCGCGAGGACUAGGGUAAUGAUUAAUAGGGAUAGUUGGGGGCAUUAAAUAUUUAAUUGUCAGAGGUGAAAUUCUUGGGAUUUAUGAAAGAUUAACUUCUGCGAA
rnacentral:rRNA from 1 species